rnacentral:sRNA from 1 species
AAACAGGAAGUGGGCGCUCACAGCUCGGGGGCGGCGCUCAGAAAACAUCUGGAGAAAAUGACCCAUUGGUUUCAUAGGAACCCAUUAAAAGCCACAGCUCCUGUGUCUUUUAAUUACUAUGGUGUAGUCACUGGCCCUUCUGCUUCAAAAAUAUGCAAUGACUUGAGGUCAUCCAGGGCACGACUCCUUGAACUGUUCACUGAUUUGAGCUGUAAUCCAGAAAUGAUGAAGAAUGCAGCAGAUUCAUAUUUCUCACUUUUACAAGGUUUCAUAAAUUCUUUGGAUGAAUCUACCCAAGAAAGCAAGUUACGAUAUAUUCAAAAUUUCAAGUGGACUGAUACAUUGCAAGGACAGGUUCCAAGAAGAUGAAGCAAAAGAAGUUCAUCGAAGCCUAAAGAUUGCGGCUGGGAUUUUUAAACAUUUAAAGGAAAGUCAUAUCCCAAAACUCAUUACACCUGCAGAAAAAGGAAGAGAUUUAGAGUCACGACUCAUAGAAGCAUAUGUUAUUCAAUGUC